rnacentral:rRNA from 1 species
AACGAACGCUGGCGGCAUGCCUAACACAUGCGAGUCGAACGAGACCUUCGGGUCUAGUGGCGCACGGGUGCGUAACGCGUGGGAACCUGCCCGUAGGUUCGGAAUAACUCCCCGAAAGGGGGGCUAAUACCGGAUAAUGUCUUCGGACCAAAGAUUUAUCGCCUUUGGAUGGGCCCGGGUUGGAUUAGCUAGUUGGUAGGGUAAAAGCCUACCAAGGCGACGAUCCAUAGCUGGUCUGAGAGGAUGAUCCGCCACACUGGGACUGAGACACGGCCCAGACUCCUACGGGAGGCAGCAGUGGCGAAUAUUGGCCAAUGGGCGAAAGCCUGAUCCAGCAAUGCCGCGUGAGUGAUGAAGGCCUUAGGGUUGUAAAGCUCUUUUACCCGCGAUGAUAAUGACAGUACCGGGAGAAUAAGCACCGGCUAACUCCGUG